AAUGUUGGAUAUAGGCACUAAAACUCACACCGGGGCGUUUCCUGGGUGAGAGGGUCUCUACCUGCAAGGUACCUGCAUGAGCCUGUAGAGAGUAGGAUAGCAAGGGCCAGUUUAGGCUUCUCAGAAAUUUCACCUAUACCUUAGACUCCCAAACAGCAGCAGGAGAAACUCCACUUGCAGGUUGGAAAGCCACUUCUGUGUCCUAAGGCAUAGCUCAGCUUUCUAAGGUGCCCUCAGACAGGAAAGUUUUUUGCUCUGGUUUUGGGCCAUGAGAAUUCCUGUAUUUUUAGUGAGAAGGAAGCAGCAGAUGCAUCCUGUUAGGCACAAGUUUUGACAGUUUGUUCAGCAUUUUACCCCAGGAGGUCUUCAACAAGAUUUUAGCCUGUUGGACUGUGAACUUCAAACUGUUCUCAGAGUGUGCUUGCAGUAAGAGAAACCAGGCUGAGCUGAGAACCAGGGGUGGGGGCAGCAAUUGUUAUUUCAUUCUACCUGUGGGCUUGGGAAAAAUCUGUUUUGUUUUUAAUCCCUACCUUCCUGUAAGCAGGCAGGAGGAGUCUGUACACUGAGUGCCCUUUAACCCCCACUGCAGCCAGCUGGAGGAGUGUGGCUCAGAGGUGAGUUGGUCACUUACUUCCUUGUAGCAAAUCCUCCUCCUGCUGCCUCUUCUCACCAUGAACUCCUCAGAAGGACCCAAGCCUCCUUCUGAUGACAGGUAUCCUUUUGGCACUGGCCUAUGAGACUUCUAGCAGUUGAAUAUGAACUAGUUCACUACUGGGGAAAUUGAAAAUGAGUUUAACUCUUAAAACAGUAUUUAGAGCUAGUUCUUGAACCAGGUAAAGACCACUGGAAGUCAUGUCACACCUCUGAGGAAAGAGAAAACGACCCAGCAGAGAGUGGAGGAGAUGAGUAUGAGAGCUGUUCCUACUGUAGUUACAGUGAAGCUCUUUUAUCUGCUUGGUGCUUUUCCCCAUCCUUUUAGGCUCAUGGUUUGUCAUUUUGUGUCUUAUUUUCUCAGUUGUGUCUCAGAUGUUUUAAAAUGGUCUUUGAACAAAUCAAGCAGGAAGCACAGCAGCACAGUCUCUGGAGUGCAUCCAAAGAGGAGCCAGGAGGAUGAGCAGAGCUCCUCUCCAAAGGAGUUUGCUCCUCCAGAGACCCAGCAAGCUCCAUCAAACAGAAUGGAAAUGCCAGCCACACUAUUGUAGUAGCCUCAAAUGCAGUGACAAUACCCUGUGAGCACUGUUGUUGAACCAACACCUGGUUCUCGUCCUGCUCUUCACUAAGUGGAAGCAAGUACAGAUCAGUGAGCAUGAGUGCUGCAGGCAGGAAGUACUCUGGGUUAGUGACAGUCAGAAAAUGGCCAAUGAUCUCUUGUGUGAAGCAUCACAAACACCUCAAGGCAACCAGGUCAAAUACUGGAAUCAAAAGCAAUAGGUAACUUUCCUCUGCACCCAUGGCAAAAAGCUUUCCUGGCCUAUGCUGCUCAGGACACUUAGCAUAAACUGUCUGAGGCCAAGAGUCAGUUCAGUUUGCCUCUGUGAAUGAUAAGAGACCUCUCAAGAACCGAAACUGAGAGAUUGUAUCUUUUUGUCUUCCUUCAGUAACCUCCCUCAACUAACCAAUGUCACUUCAGCUUCCCCUACGUGGAUCUGCUCAGCUGCUGAGCCCUCAUCUGGGCUAGGCUGGUCAAUCCCAUGGAGGGGGCACCCUCCACACAUGAAGUUCUGCUGCUAUUGUAAGUGAUUGUUCAGGCAGGUACUUACUGGAAUAGCUGCAAUUGGGCUGGCCUGGAUUUCCUCUGUCCCGUGGUAGCCAUUUGUGAUGUCACAUAUACAAUAGUUACUGACAGAGGGGGGCCUGAAGGUGUGACCCCCUUCACAGUCAAUCUCCGGGCUGAUGCCACAGCCAAACGUGAAGGAAGCAAGGGAGUGGUAGUGAGUGAGGAGAACGACUGCAUGGAUCAGCUCUGCCAGGGACCAGCUGUUCUCUUCAGUCUUUAGAAGUUGCUGGAAAAGAGCACAGAAGUGUUAGCUGUGUCAGGUGAUCCCACCUUGUUUCUUCACCAGGUGAAAGUCUUCUUCCAGCAUCCACAAUUGCCUCCUAACUCUCUGCUGCCACCAGCGUGCUCAGUGUGCUGUUUCCAGGUGACCUGCCAGCCACAGACUCGUGUGGUUCAGCCACACAGGAGGUGACUUCUUUCCCCUCUCUGGCCCUCAGCUAUUCAGUCAGCUGGGGUUUCUGUUUUGCUCCAUAUGGUUUUUGUGGAGGCCAGACCGACUUGCAUUGAAAUUUCACACCUCUGCUGAAGAAGCAACCACAACAGUCACAUGCUCCUCCAGCUGCUCUUUAAGCUCUCAGAGAACCCUGGCAAGCCCUUGCUGAUCAGCUCAGUAAAAGCCUGGCAUCAAGGCCAGGCUCCCUCCAUCUUCUCCCUGUGGGUGGAAUGCUCCACAUUUGACAAGAAGCUUCAACCCCCAACUUCCCCUUCAGGCAGGAAAGUGUGGGAGGCCUGGGGCCUUCUGGCAGAGCGUGUGGCCUCCCCCACAGCCCAGCACCCUGCCUCCCAGCAGGACCUGCUGCUGCUGCCUCUCCACGGAGCAGACAGCCCCAAGAAAGUUCCAGCACCCACUUCCUCCUCACAAUGGGUAAAGAGCAGAGGAGCUGCUCCAGUAAGCAUGGCCAGGCCCAGGGCAGGCACAGCCCUGCUGCUGUGAGAGCUGCUUUUGCUGCACGCAAACCCUUGAAGCUGGCAGAUCUGGGUGGUCCUCAGAGGAGGGGGCAGCAGCAGCUGCUUGGUGGCUUGUUGGUACUGCAGUCCUGGCUGGCUUGGGACAGCUCACCCUGGGCUGUUCUGCCAGCCUGCUUCCCCCAACCCUGCCUGAAAACUAAGCCUGUGAAGCAGCAGCAGCUGAGACAGAAAUGUGAUGAAUGGUGUUGUGCAGAACCUCUGGCAGCAUCUCAGAAGUGCUCAGAGGGUUCUGGCUACUCAAACCACAUGACUUAAGGAGAAGCCCAUCUGAGCACCAACACAAGUCUGAGAUGACAGCUGUGAAGUGUCAGUGUGCUGGAAAUGGAGUUUGUUCAUCAUUCAUGAGCAGUUAAUACCAUGUUAGCUUUACAAGGGCAUGAGCAGUAUGACAUAAUCAGUGUCAGAGUGACAGAACACUGACAGGGAGCUCAGCAAGGCAGAACAUCCUUCCCCUGUUUGACUUCUAACCCUAAGAACCUGUGCCAGCAUUACUGAAACAUCAGGGCACAUUCACACCACUCCAUGAAGAGUUUACCUCGAUGUGUUCCUUGGUGAUAAGCCAGGGUCGGUGAGCCAACAUUUUGUUCAGUUCUCCUAAAUUUUGCAGUUUCUGAGGUGCAUUUUCCAGACCAUUCAACCAUUUAGGGUCUCCACCGACAUGAAGGAAGUCAUUGACGUGGAGGUUAACAAGAUAAGAGCACUGAUGUCGAGCUGCAGCCUAGAAAACACCAUUGUGGUACAGAGAACAGUGACAGUAAGUCAGUGCUUUAGGAACAAUACCAGAAGUCAGCAUUCCCUCAAAAUGGUCAAGAGUAAGACUUGCAGUGAUCAAAGGCUGAAGUGAAAGAAAAGAGCAGAGAUGAACACAUCAGACUGUUCUGAUUCUUAUUCUCACAACAGAAGCACUCCUCAGUCAUGCACACUGUAACUGUGCUGGCUGCAGCUGCAACGUGCUUAUGUUCAGGGAGAAGUGCAGGCAUGGAUUCAAUGUCUGUCCUGAGGCAAAGAAUCCAUACUGCACGGUGCCAUCCCCUGGGGAAGAAGCAAGGCUGCUGUGAGGUCAACCUCCACCAACAAAAGCAAAAGGAGGUUUUAGAAUGCACACAGCAAGUGAGACUAAGGGCAGCUUUUUGGCAAAACACAGGCCCAGUAUCAUUUGUUCAAACAGUGACACCUUCCCCAGCAAAUUACAACAGAGCCCCAAACUUGAAUUAAACUCCAGCAAGCAAAGAUCAUUGACCUGGCAGACUAGAAAUGAUGGAGUCAGCCACUGCUGGCAGAGAACCUGCUUAGCAAUCAAAUCUUCAGAAACAGAAAAUGGGACAGACCGAGUUGGAGGGAGAUGUGUUUGACAGGGCACACACAAACCCAACUUUCUGAGAUGCUAAGAAACUGACAAUAAACAAUUGUCUUGUUUUACAACA